GGACCGUUAGCAAAUUGGCCUUGCAACAGACUCUUAAUCUGAAAAGGUGGGUUCAAUUCCCACACGGUUCA
rnacentral:tRNA from 1 species